rnacentral:rRNA from 1 species
CAUCACCUACGGGAGGCAGCAGUGGGGGAUAUUGCACAAUGGGGGAAACCCUGAUGCAGCGACGCCGCGUGAGUGAAGAAGUAUUUCGGUACGUAAAGCUCUAUCAGCAGGGAAGAAAAAUGACGGUACCUGACUAAGAAGCCCCGGCUAACUACGUGCCAGCAGCCGCGGUAAUACGUAGGGGGCAAGCGUUAUCCGGAUUUACUGGGUGUAAAGGGAGCGCAGGCGGCAUGGCAGGUCUGAUGUGAAAACCCGGGGCCCAACCCCGGGAGUGCAUUGGAAACUGCCAGGCUGGAGUGUCGGAG